GACGAACGCUGGCGGCGUGCUUAACACAUGCAAGUCGAACGGAAAGGCCCUGCUUUUGUGGGGUGCUCGAGUGGCGAACGGGUGAGUAACACGUGAGUAACCUGCCCUUGACUUUGGGAUAACUUCAGGAAACUGGGGCUAAUACCGGAUAGGAGCUCCUGCUGCAUGGUGGGGGUUGGAAAGUUUCGGCGGUUGGGGGUGGACUCGCGGCUUAUCAGCUUGUUGGUGGGGUAGUGGCUUACCCAGGCUUUGACGGGUAGCCGGCCUGAGAGGGUGACUGGCCACAUUGGGACUAAGAUACGGCCCAGCCUCCAACGGGGGGCAGCAGUGGGGAAUAUUGCACAAUGGGCGGAAGCCUGAUGCGGCAACGCCGCGUGCGGGAUGACGGCCUUCGGGUUGUAAACCGCUUUCGCCUGUGACGAAGCGUGAGUGACGGUAAUGGGUAAAGAAGCACCGGCUAACUACGUG
rnacentral:rRNA from 1 species